rnacentral:rRNA from 1 species
AGUGAACGCUGGCGGUAGGCCUAACACAUGCAAGUCGAACGGCAGCACAGUAGGAGCUUGCUCUUACGGGUGGCGAGUGGCGGACGGGUGAGGAAUACAUCGGAAUCUACUUUUUCGUGGGGGAUAACGUAGGGAAACUUACGCUAAUACCGCAUACGACCUACGGGUGAAAGCAGGGGAUCUUCGGACCUUGCGCGAUUGGAUGAGCCGAUGUCGGAUUAGCUAGUUGGCGGGGUAAAGGCCCACCAAGGCGACGAUCCGUAGCUGGUCUGAGAGGAUGAUCAGCCACACUGGAACUGAGACACGGUCCAGACUCCUACGGGAGGCAGCAGUGGGGAAUAUUGGACAAUGGGCGCAAGCCUGAUCCAGCCAUACCGCGUGGGUGAAGAAGGCCUUCGGGUUGUAAAGCCCUUUUGUUGGGAAAGAAAAGCAGCAGGUUAAUACCCCGCUGUUCUGACGGUACCCAAAGAAUAAGCACCGGCUAACUUCGUG